rnacentral:rRNA from 1 species
GAUGAACGCUGGCGGCGUGCCUAAUACAUGCAAGUCGAGCGAACGGAUGAGAAGCUUGCUUCUCUGAUGUUAGCGGCGGACGGGUGAGUAACACGUGGAUAACCUACCUAUAAGACUGGGAUAACUUCGGGAAACCGGAGCUAAUACCGGAUAAUAUUUUGAACCGCAUGGUUCAAAAGUGAAAGACGGUCUUGCUGUCACUUAUAGAUGGAUCCGCGCUGCAUUAGCUAGUUGGUAAGGUAACGGCUUACCAAGGCAACGAUGCAUAGCCGACCUGAGAGGGUGAUCGGCCACACUGGAACUGAGACACGGUCCAGACUCCUACGGGAGGCAGCAGUAGGGAAUCUUCCGCAAUGGGCGAAAGCCUGACGGGGCAACGCCGCGUGAGUGAUGAAGGUCUUCGGAUCGUAAAACUCUGUUAUUAGGGAAGAACAUAUGUGUAAGUAACUGUGCACAUCUUGACGGUACCUAAUCAGAAAGCCACGGCUAACUACGUG